rnacentral:lncRNA from 10 species
CUGGCCAGUAUAUCCUGAACAAGCCCAGAAUGCUGAAAUCCGAUCACCCCUCUCUGUUACUUAGGUUUGCUUUCAGUUCUACCUUGUCUGUAAUCCCACCCCUUUAGAAAACAUUCCAUCAUUGUUUCAUGUUGUUUUACUUUUACAAACAUAUUUAUCAACUUCACAUCUGCCUCUUCAAUCUCACUCCUUCCUUCUUGGUUCAAUUUUCUUCUUUCUGAAUGGCAGGCGAUUCCUUUGUUCAGUGAGGGUCUAUGAUUAACAAACUCAGACCCUGAGUUUACUAGCAUGAAUCUUUAUAUAUUUUAAUUAUCAUUAUCUAAUAAACAUAUGUAAGUAGUUAAAAAUUUAAAUAGUGCUAAAAGUAGUAGUCUCCUGUUCCUCACUUCCCCAGACAUAACAAUUUCCAACUGUUUUUUCUUCCUGAGCUAUUCCGUAUGGUAUUUAACUCCAAGUUUCUAAAUAGUAUGCUUAUAAUACUCUCUUAAUUCAUUAAUUUACAAUACUAUUAACUGUAUAUUAUAGUAGCAGACUGAGCGCUCUUAAGCCUUCCCAUUCCCCUUUUCCUCCUCCAUUUGUAUAUCAUAUUUUGUAAAAUAUUCAAAUUUUACAUAUUUCAAUUUUGUUAAAAAUGGUUCUUUGGAAUUCUAUGAUUACACUUCCUAGUUUAAACAACUUUUCAUUUUUCCUGGAGUUAGUAAUCACUUAAUUUUUUUCCUGAGUCUUCUUUGAACUGAUCUCUAAUUUUUUCCACACCCUUCAAUAGCUUCUCAGUAUAACACCCCAGUCAGCCAAAUAUUUCAGACAGGGUGCCUCAUUUUGGAGCUAUGAUUAUGUGCCUAAAUCCAGAUGCUUUUGGAUUUAACUUCUCCAAGGGGGGGAAAAAUCCCACCUCUUGAGGGAGUGACAGAGAAGUUGCUUUACACUAUCCCCUUUUACUAUCUUUUGUGUCACCUAAUAUAUCAUAUUUUUCAUCUCAGUUCUCAGGGCUUCAUUCUGGCUGAUUUUCUUUGAUCUUCCAGUUUAUUAAUUCUAUCUUUGGCUGUGUCCACUGUGCUAUUUAAUUAGUGUUUAAUUUCAAAGACUAUAUUUUUCAUUUCUAGUCUGUCUUUUUUUACUGUUGUUUUUCAUAGUGGUUUCUUUUUCACUGUGGCUCCUAUUUAUUCUCUAUUUCUUUUCUUAUUGUAAGCAUAUGUAUUUGAUAGAAACCUUUAUAUUUAUAUCUUAUUUCUAGUUCUUCAUUUGUUGAAUCUGCUGACUUUAUUCUAGUCUAUUUCUUCAUGUGAUCUGGAGAUUUUUCAUUGUGAGUUUAUACUUAACAGGAUGCUUUUCCACUCCUUACAGAGUGAUUUUUUAUUUGCUUCUAUCAAUAUUCCAAUGACUCUAAUGGCCUGGAGAGGGGAAAAUAUGUUCGCUUUUAGCUCCAGGAUUCCCAAAUCCUCUGGCCCUGGGCUUACAGCUCCUUCCUAUUUUCCUGACCUUAUAGGCAAAGUGAUUGUUUUGUCUUUUUUCCCAAUUUCCAGAUUUAUCUAUGGGCAGGACUUCGAGGAGGCUUCCCUUAAUCAGAGUCUUAGCUCUCGCCUGAAGCAAAUGCAAGCCUGUCACAUCUCUGCCCUUAAAUUGAGAAUUGAAACUCCAGCCCUCCGUGUCUUAGCCCAAAUGUUGCCUUUUUGGCCUGCCUCGCCCUGCUAUCCUGUGCCCAUAUAAACCCCAGACCCCAGCUGGCAAAGAGAAAAGUGGCUGAACACCAAGAGAAGAAGCAACAGAGCAUUGGAGACUAUAGAUAGAUGUGGCUUAACUUUAGAUGGCAUGACUUCAGAGAGGAGCCCGGUCGUCUCUGGGAAAGAUCACCUUCAUCCUACACCAUCCCCUCUCCAGCUCCUGAUUCUCUGAGAGCCACUUCCACUGCUUAAUAAAAUCCUCUGCAUUCAUCACCUUUCAAACAGUUCAUGUGAUCUGAUUCUUCUGGAUGCCAAACAAGAACUUGGGUAUCAAAGGGGCAGGUGCAGAAGGCUGUCACCCUGACCUACCACUGAGCUGUCAACACUUAGCCAUCCAUAGACAGCAAAUUGUAUACAUUUGCUAAAUUUACAAAAACUAAAAUUGUAGCUAAAACUGUAACACACCCGUAGAAUGCUGCCAUGGGGCUGGAGCCCAAAAGCGCUUGGCCCGGCCCUGGCACCCAC